rnacentral:rRNA from 1 species
GUCCACGCCGUAAACGAUGGAUACUAGCUGUUUGGUAGCAAUACUGAGUGGCUAAGCGAAAGUGAUAAGUAUCCCACCUGGGGAGUACGAACGCAAGUUUGAAACUCAAAGGAAUUGACGGGGGCCCGCACAAGCGGUGGAGCAUGUGGUUUAAUUCGAUGAUACGCGAGGAACCUUACCAGGGCUUAAAUGUAGGUUGACAGGCUUGGAAACAGGUUUUUCUUCGGACAACUUACAAGGUGCUGCAUGGUUGUCGU